CGGGGUGGAGUAAUGUCUGGGAAACUGCCUGAUGGAGGGGGGUAACUACUGGAAACGGUAGCUAAUACCGCAUAACGUCGCAAGACCAAAGAGGGGGACCUUCGGGCCUCUUGCCAUCGGAUGUGCCCAGAUGGGAUUAGCUAGUAGGUGGGGUAACGGCUCACCUAGGCGACGAUCCCUAGCUGGUCUGAGAGGAUGACCAGCCACACUGGAACUGAGACACGGUCCAG
rnacentral:rRNA from 1 species